CCCAAAUAUACAGAGUGGAGACAAAUUCGAGGCGAGAUAGGCAGAUCUGGCUGUAAAUAAUCACAGCAUCCACUUAAGCUGCCUUCCUCUGCUCGCUCUCUCUCUCUCUUCCCGCCCCCCACUCCCGCCUUAACCAGAUGUAGCUGAAUGGGGAACCCGCUUUGCAAAAAUGGGUUACAAGCGUCUCCUAGCGGCCUCAGGAGCUCAAUGCAAGCAGGUUUCUGCUGGUAGGAGCUCUGGCUGGGGAAAGAUAAGACGCUUCUUUCCAGGAUCUGCUUCUUUCUCCUGAUUUUCAAGACCUCUGAAGAGAAUCAUCUGGCCGUUUGCGAAAGAAAAUUGGCGAUAUGCUUCCGGAAGAAGCUACGCUCUUUGUGACCCCCCAAGUCUCCACUGCUAUUUCUAGGCUGGAGCCAAACCACUAUACGGUGACAAAACUUAAGCACAGAAAUGAAAAGUGAAUUGUCUAGGGUUACAGAGAGGAUAGAACAGUUGUGAGGAUUCUUCAUACCUUCUCUGUGAACAUUAUUCUGCAAGGCAAAGGAGCAACUAGAGGAACCACCAAAAGUCUACUUUUCUGAGUUGGGAAGUGAAAUGACCUUGUGUUAAGCAACCACCAUAGGCCAUUUAAAGAAGAGAGCUAACAAGUGCUUCGGGUAGACUCAGUUUUUGCUUUAUGGAAAAUCACCAGGCUACACCUUGAGUCCAGUGAUCACUAGGAGACCUCAAUAACCAUUCAGAUAUCACUCCUGUUCCUUUCCUGAACCACAUGAACAUUCAAACUACACUGCACUCUCACUGUUCAUGUUAAAACACAGAGAUCCUGGUUGAUAAAAGCUUACUUUUACACUCCUGGCUGCACAAACCGCAUGUUUCUUGACCCUUUGGUGCCUUCAGGAUGAGAGAAUACAGGGAAAUGCAAAAGAAAAACUCACAACAAAUGGACACAAGGUUAAAAGGAAAGUCUGUGAGUGAAGACUCUAGUUUUGGGCCUUGGAAUGAAAGGAGGCUCAUCUCUAUAGUGAACACCAAGCCUCAUUUGAAAAUCUCCAGUGAUCAAGAACCUACCACCUCCCAAGGAAACCUGCUCAACGUUAGGAUUUCAACAGGAAGUUCUUCCCUACAAAUAUCCCAAUUCUGUUGCUUGACAACUUGCAUCUAUGGUUUCUAGUUCUCUUGCAUGAUCUUAAAAUUAGGCAUGUGAGAAGCUUCAGUGAAAAAUCGUAGGGGUUUCAUGGUGAGGUAAAGAGUAAUCACAAUUCUCUACCAGUUUAACAGAGAAUGCAUAUGCCUUUAGGAAAGAAAAGUUAUUGGUAAAUUAUAGAACAAGGACAUUCUAUGCCUAGAAUCCAGUUUAGAAGUUAAAAUGAAGUAAUAUUACAGAAUCUCAGAGUUACUAAUGUCCUCAGAGGCCAUUUAAGCCAACCUCUACCCUUAGAGGAAAUUCCUUUAUUAUAUAACAAACAAAUGGCCAUUCAACCUUUGCUUGAAGAUCUAUAGUGAGGAGAAACAUGCAGCCUCCUGAUAUAACCCAUUUUACUUUGGGUGAUAUACAUGCAUGCAUGCAUACACACAUACAUAUAUAUAUGCAUAUAUACAUAUUUAAAUUGUUAGGAAUUUUUUUCCUUUCAAUCUGUUUCUUUGCAACUUGUACCUAUUGAUCUGACAAGGGUUAAGUACAGUAGGAUUCUACCUUCCCAUGUUUACCAUCCUAUAAAGAGGGUAGAAGGUGUAGAGAAAGGUGGCAUCAAUUAAGGCAUGAGUUAGCAGCAAGGUGAUAAGAUUAGAAGUAAUGAGCUUAUCCUGGGAGGAGGAUCUUGUUCCUUAGAAUUGAAAUCAGGCAGAGCAGCAGAUACAAAGUGGAGUAAGAAGUUUCCAGAAGUCUCUAGAGUAAUAAACUGGGGAGAGGGACAUGAUGAAGACUGCUAAGUCCUUUCAUGUCUUCCCAAAAUCUUUUCUUUCAGCAUGCUAAAGUGGGGUAGGCAGCUUCUAUAUUUCCUCUCCAAGCUGGAAGCCAGAAGUACCUGAACCAACUGCGGAGCAUGAAACAUCAAGCAUUGUGAAGACUGACUAAGGAAGAAAGAACUUAAGACCUCUCCUCUCUCUUUCCAACUCCACCCCACCCUUUACAGAAUCUGGGGACAUUGAUCUCCAUGUAAAAAGGAGAGAAUCAGGGCAGCUAGAUGGCACAGUGGAUAAAGCAUUGGCCCUGGAUUCAGGAAGACCUGAGUUCAAAUCCAGCCUCAGACACUUGACACUUACUAGCUGUGUGACCCUAGGCAAGUCACUUAACCCUCAUUGCCCUGCAAAAAAAGAAGAAGAAGAAGAAGAAGAAAAUCCCUUACCAAAAGGCUUUAAGACUGGGGUUACAUUUAAAGGAUUAAAUUGAGACCCAGAGUUACAGAUCUUAAGUUUAGGACUACAAGAGACUUUAGAGAUCAUAUUAUCUAAAUAACUCCCCCCUCCCCUCAUUUCACAGCUGAGGAAAUUGAGACCUAUCCAGGCUAAUUACUUAUCCAAUAUCACGUAGGUAAUAAGUGAUUCCAGUAGAAUUUGAACACAAGUCCCCUAUCUCUAAAGCUACUGCUAUUUCCACUGUACUGUGUCAAUCAGAAGAGAUACUGGUAGAAUACUACAUCCUUGACAGCAGAGAUUGUUUUGUUUUUGUCAUUGUAUCCCUAAUGCUAAAAAAAUAGUCCCUGGCACUUAGUAUGUGGUUAAUAAAUGUUUGUUGAUUUAAGUUGAGGUAAUUUUUAAGAAAUAAGCCUUUUACACUCAAAUGGAAAGGGGCUAUUCAACUGUUGAAGGCAAUGAACUUACUUUUAAAAUAAAAUGAUACUUACAACUUCCUGGCAUGUAUAAUUAAUGAUAACCAGAGAACUAUUUGUUAAUGUAUUGUAACCUUUUUUCUUUGCAUAAAUAAGCAUUACUAGAUAACAGGCUAAAUAAAAAUUGAGUUGAUUCUACAAGGGGUUGAAGCUGAGACCUUAUUGUUUUUACAUCUGUGAUAUAACUGCUUCAUUGGAUUUCCAUCCUGUU